CCUCCAGUUCUUGGCAUGCGUGUAGUUGUGCCAGUACGCGUGUGUGUUUAAUGUACAGGGGGACGGUAACUGUCACUGGCAUGUCUUUGGUGCCAGCGAGCCCCAAUCUCCUGGUCCCAUCCUCAGUCUCUGACAGAAGU